CUUGGCCAGCCUUCUGAAAGGAAGAUUAAUACAAGAUGGCAUCAUGAGUCCGCAUGUUCACAUGAUUAAAGGUAUUCCGGUAGACGAUGGGGAUGCGUUCCAUUAGAUAGUAGGCGGGGUAACGGCCCACCUAGUCUUCGAUGGGUAGGGGUUCUGAGAGGAAGGUCCCCCACAUUGGAACUGAGACACGGUCCAAACUCCUACGGGAGGCAGCAGUGAGGAAUAUUGGUCAAUGGGCGAGAGCCUGAACCAGCCAAGUAGCGUGAAGGAUGACUGCCCUAUGGGUUGUAAACUUCUUUUAUAAGGGAAUAAAGUCGGGUAUGGAUACCCGUUUGCAUGUACUUUAUGAAUAAGGAUCGGCUAACUCCGUGCCAGCAGCCGCGGUAAUACGGAGGAUCCGAGCGUUAUCCGGAUUUAUUGGGUUUAAAGGGAGCGUAGAUGGAUGUUUAAGUCAGUUGUGAAAGUUUGCGGCUCAACCGUAAAAUUGCAGUUGAUACUGGAUAUCUUGAGUGCAGUUGAGGCAGGCGGAAUUCGUGGUGUAGCGGUGAAAUGCUUAGAUAUCACGAAGAACUCCGAUUGCGAAGGCAGCCUGCUAAGCUGCAACUGACAUUGAGGCUCGAAAGUGUGGGUAUCAAACAGGAUUAGAUACCCUGGUAGUCCACACGGUAAACGAUGAAUACUCGCUGUUUGCGAUAUACUGCAAGCGGCCAAGCGAAAGCGUUAAGUAUUCCACCUGGGGAGUACGCCGGCAACGGUGAAACUCAAAGGAAUUGACGGGGGCCCGCACAAGCGGAGGAACAUGUGGUUUAAUUCGAUGAUACGCGAGGAACCUUACCCGGGCUUAAAUUGCAGAUGAAUUACGGUGAAAGCCGUAAGCCGCAAGGCAUCUGUGAAGGUGCUGCAUGGUUGUCGUCAGCUCGUGCCGUGAGGUGUCGGCUUAAGUGCCAUAACGAGCGCAACCCUUGUUGUCAGUUACUAACAGGUUCCGCUGAGGACUCUGACAAGACUGCCAUCGUAAGAUGUGAGG
rnacentral:rRNA from 1 species